UACGGAGGAUGCGAGCGUUAUCCGGAUUUAUUAGGUUUAAAGGGUGCGUAGGCGGGCUUUUAAGUCAGCGGUAAAAAUUCGGGGCUCAACCCCGUCCGGCCGUUGAAACUGGGGGCCUUGAGUGGGCGAGAAGAAGGCGGAAUGCGUGGUGUAGCGGUGAAAUGCAUAGAUAUCACGCAGAACCCCGAUUGCGAAGGCAGCCUUCCGGCGCCCUACUGACGCUGAGGCACGAAAGUGCGGGGAUCGAACAGG
rnacentral:rRNA from 1 species